UACCAGCACCCCGGGUGGUCGGGACGAUUAUUGGGCCUAAAGCAUCCGUAGCCGGUUUUACAAGUCCUCCGUUAAAUCCAGCUGCUUAACAGAUGGGCUGCGGAGGAUACUAUAAGACUAGGAGGCAGGAGGGGCAAGCGGUACUCAGUGGGUAGGGGUAAAAUCCGUUGAUCCAUUGAAGACCACCAGUGGCGAAGGCGGCUUGCCAGAAUGCGCUCGACGGUGAGGGAUGAAAGCUGGGGGAGCAAACCGG
rnacentral:rRNA from 1 species